rnacentral:rRNA from 1 species
GCCCUACGGGAGGCAGCAGUGGGGAAUAUUGCACAAUGGGCGCAAGCCUGAUGCAGCGACGCCGCGUGAGCGAAGAAGUAUUUCGGUAUGUAAAGCUCUAUCAGCAGGGAAGAAAAUGACGGUACCUGACUAAGAAGCUCCGGCUAAAUACGUGCCAGCAGCCGCGGUAAUACGUAGGGGGCAAGCGUUAUCCGGAUUUACUGGGUGUAAAGGGAGCGUAGACGGCAGGGCAAGUCUGGAGUGAAAGCCCGGGGCCCAACCCCGGGACUGCUUUGGAAACUGCCAUGCUGGAGUGCUGGAGAGGG